GAUGAACGCUGGCGGCGUGCCUAAUACAUGCAAGUCGAGCGAACAGACGAGGAGCUUGCUCCUCUGACGUUAGCGGCGGACGGGUGAGUAACACGUGGAUAACCUACCUAUAAGACUGGGAUAACUUCGGGAAACCGGAGCUAAUACCGGAUAAUAUAUUGAACCGCAUGGUUCAAUAGUGAACGACGGUUUUGCUGUCACUUAUAGAUGGAUCCACGCCGGAUUAGCUAGUUGGUAAGGUAACGGCAUACCAAGGCGAAGAUGCGUAGCCGACCUGAGAGGAGGAUCAGUAACACUGGAACUGAGCAACGGUCCAGACUCCUACGGGAGGCAGCAGUGGGGAAUAGUGGACAAGGGGCGGAAGCCUGACACAGCAAUGCCGCGGGUGAGAAGAAGGUCUUCGGAUUGUAAAGCACUUUAAGUGGGGAGGAAGGGCAGUAAGCUAAUACCUUGCGGUUUUGACGUUACCAAAAGAAUAAGCACCGGCUAACUUCGUG
rnacentral:rRNA from 1 species